rnacentral:rRNA from 1 species
CCUAACACAUGCAAGUCGAACGAGCGAGAGAGAGCUUGCUUUCUCGAGCGAGUGGCGAACGGGUGAGUAACGCGUGAGGAACCUGCCUCAAAGAGGGGGACAACAGUUGGAAACGACUGCUAAUACCGCAUAAGCCCACGACCCGGCAUCGGGUAGAGGGAAAAGGAUUUAUUCGCUUCAGGAUGGACUCGCGUCCAAUUAGCUAGUUGGUGAGGUAACGGCCCACCAAGGCGACGAUUGGUAGCCGGACUGAGAGGUUGAACGGCCACAUUGGGACUGAGACACGGCCCAGACUCCUACGGGAGGCAGCAGUGGGGGAUAUUGCACAAUGGGGGAAACCCUGAUGCAGCGACGCCGCGUGGAGGAAGAAGGUUUUCGGAUUGUAAACCCCUGUCGUUAGGGACGAUAAUGACGGUACCUAACAAGAAAGCACCGGCUAACUACGUGCCAGCAGCCGCGGUAAAACGUAGGGUGCAAGCGUUGUCCGGAAUUACUGGGUGUAAAGGGAGCGCAGGCGGACCGGCAAGUUGGAAGUGAAAACUAUGGGCUCAACCCAUAAAUUGCUUUCAAAACUGCUGGCCUUGAGUAGUGCAGAGGUAGGUGGAAUUCCCGGUGUAGCGGUGGAAUGCGUAGAUAUCGGGAGGAACACCAGUGGCGAAGGCGACCUACUGGGCACCAACU